GACACCAUUAACACUUUGUCAGCCUCAGUGA
rnacentral:piRNA from 1 species